GGAGGUCCUCGGACUGUUUGCCUGGCGGUUCACGCUGCCUCGCUAGUGGAAAGACGACCAAACUGUAGCGCUUAGAGGAAGUAAAAGUCGUAACAAGGUUUCCGUAGGUGAACCUGCGGAAGGAUCAUUAUCGAUUUUCCCAGCUUGUGCGGGGAGAAGCGAAUAAAAACCUCGGGCUCCCAUGCCUUGGGACCUUGGCCUGUCUGCCAUUGUCCGCCAGGUCGGUCCUUGAGCGCUUGCGGCUAUUUGGCUGCUUGGGCUCGGCCGACCGCCCGGUCGGAGGUGCUGUGCGCCGUUGUCGAAUCCCAUUCGAAAGGCGGUAAUUCAGCGUUUAAAGAGCCUCGCCUCCGGCUCGGGUUCUGUGCUCCCCCUUGUUGGGCUUGUGGAAAACGGUACAGACAACAAACCUAACUGGCCUUAGCGCCGGAAACCCCAAAUACAACACUAUACAGUGGAUCAUUUGGCUCGGGGGUCGAUGAAGAACGGAGCUAACUCCGUGACGCAAUGUGAACUGCAGGACACAUGAACAUCGACAUUUUGAACGCAUAUUGCGGACAUGUGCUUGUUGCAUGUCCAUGUUUGGGUCAGGGUCGGUUGAACAUCCAUCAGAUCGCUUGCUCGUGUUCUGCAAUGGGCUGUCCUGCCUCCUCCACCGGGGGAAGCGGGUAGCCUCAAGUUGACUUGUGCAGUGCUCUGCCGAAUGACUCUUGGGUCGUAAAAAGCCUGGGUCGCCUGCAGAUAAGCCUUCACAGGGGAUCGGCCGUUAGCUGAGGCUUCGGUCGUGACAAACUUUCUCUUUCGACCUGACAUCAAGCAAGACUACCCGCCGAAUUUAAGCAUAUUAAUAAGCGGAGGAAAAGAAAACAACUGUGAUUCCCUUAGUAAUGGCGAAUGAAACGGGAAGAGCCCAUCGUCGAAUCGCAAGUCGUUCUGGCUUUGCGAAAUGUGACGUUUGGGAGGGUCUUCCACAGCUCGGACGAUCAGUCAAAGUCCAACUUGACAGUGGCCACAGUCCAUAGAGGGUGAUAGGCCCGUA
rnacentral:rRNA from 1 species